AAGCAGAGGACAGUGGCGGACGGGUGAGUAACGCGUGAGGAACCUGCCUUUCAGAGGGGGACAACAGUUGGAAACGACUGCUAAUACCGCAUGACACAGCGAGAUCGCAUGGUCUUGCUGUCAAAGAUUUAUCGCUGAAAGAUGGCCUCGCGUCUGAUUAGAUAGUUGGUGAGGUAACGGCCCACCAAGUCGACGAUCAGUAGCCGGACUGAGAGGUUGAACGGCCACAUUGGGACUGAGACACGGCCCAGACUCC
rnacentral:rRNA from 1 species